rnacentral:misc_RNA from 1 species
GUUUGAACCUUGAUUUUUAAAAAUGUUUAAAAUAAGAUUUGGCGCAGAAUGCUUUAUAGGUUUUCUAUUAGGCUAAUUGACCAUAAAAAAAAUCUCAAAACUCUUUUGCAUAUUUGCAAUUAAACAAUUUUACCAUAAUUUGAAUAAUUAGUUUCAAUUAUACGCGAUUAGUCAAAAUUGAAAUAGAAAUAAUAUUUAUUAUUAAUUUGAUAUAAAUCUUAAAAAUAAACUUUAAUUUCUUUUCCUCGUCCAUUCUUCUGUUUACUUCCCUCCCCUUCUUUGUACCUCUCACUCAAUACUAUUGAAAACUCAUGAACUUCUUUCCCUCCUUCUUUGACAAAUCAAGAUUGACACUAUUGUUGCUUGCUUUUUUCAAAUGGAGAGUUUAUUAUGCUCUCUUAGCUCCACUUAAAUAAGCACUUCUUCAACACCGCCUCAAUAACACCAAGAGAGAGAGAGAGGAAUUUUUGGGAUGGGGAUGAAAGGAGAGAGGGGGAGAGGGGGGAGAGGAAU